AUUGAACGCCGGCGGCAUGCUUUACACAUGCAAGUCGAACGGCAGCGCGGGAUUCGGCCUGGCGGCGAGUGGCGAACGGGUGAGUAAUACAUCGGAACAUGCCCGGUUGUGGGGUAUAGCGCGGCGAAAGCCGGAUUAAUACGGCAAAAGACCUGAGGGUGAAAGGGGGGGAUCUUCGGACCUUGCGCCCUUGGAGCGGCCGAUGGCGGAUUAGCUAGUUGGUGGGGUAAAGGCCUACCAAGGCGACGAUCUGUAGCUGGUCUGAGAGGACGAGCAGCCACACUGGGACUGAGACACGGCCCAGACUCCUACGGGAGGCAGCAGUGGGGAAUUUUGGACAAUGGGCGAAAGCCUGAUCCAGCAAUGCCGCGUGUGUGAUGAAGGCCUUCGGGUUGUAAAGCACUUUUGGCGGGAACGAAAAGGACUGUGCCAAUACCACGGUUCGAUGACGGUACCCGCAGAAUAAGCACCGGCUAACUACGUG
rnacentral:rRNA from 1 species